rnacentral:snoRNA from 1 species
ACUUCAUGAUUUGGGCAUUGAGCUAGCUUACCAUUAAACCUAUCCCAAGCUUCAAACAAUGACUCUCCAUUUAUUUAUUGAAAAUUCACAAUCUCGUCUUGCUUUU